rnacentral:rRNA from 1 species
GACGAACGCUGGCGGCGUGCCUAAUACAUGCAAGUAGAACGCUGAAGGAGGAGCUUGCUUCUCUGGAUGAGUUGCGAACGGGUGAGUAACGCGUAGGUAACCUGCCUGGUAGCGGGGGAUAACUAUUGGAAACGAUAGCUAAUACCGCAUAAGAGUAGAUGUUGCAUGACAUUUGCUUAAAAGGUGCAAUUGCAUCACUACCAGAUGGACCUGCGUUGUAUUAGCUAGUUGGUGAGGUAACGGCUCACCAAGGCAACGAUACAUAGCCGACCUGAGAGGGGGAUCGGCCACACUGGGACUGAGACACGGCCCAGACUCCUACGGGAGGCAGCAGUAGGGAAUCUUCGGCAAUGGACGGAAGUCUGACCGAGCAACGCCGCGGGAGUGAAGAAGGGUUUCGGAUCGUAAAGCUCUGUUGUAAGAGAAGAACGAGUGUGAGAGUGGAAAGUUCACACUGUGACGGUAUCUUACCAGAAAGGGACGGCUAACUACGUG